AGACUUUCAACGACAGUGUAGUCUACCUGGCCAGCAGGACCAAGUGGACAAGAAAACUGCUCCCGAAUUCCUAGUGGGAGACCGUCUAUCUUCAACUUUCAUCCAAAGUCCAAGGAUGCACUUCUGAUCUCCCUGACCCACAAGAUCACAUUUAUGGCCCUGAGCUAGGAGGUUCAAUUCAACUGGUUCAUGAAUGAUAAUCAGGUGCACAUGGCUCAGAUGCAGGACUGCAAGGAGCGAUAUAACAAUGCCUUCCAGGGCAUGCCCAGGUGCCUUGGGAAUCCACCAUGCCUCCAUCUAAGUAGCAGAUCAACAAGAACAAAGUCAGUCUUAUCUGCAUGGUCAUGCUCUUCUAUCCUGAAGACAUUGAUGUGGAGUGUUAUAUCAGUGGAAAACCUGAGAGGAACUACAAGAACAUAGUUACGGACUCUGGUGGGUCCUUCUUCUGCAGAAAUAUUACUAUGGACAAGAUCAUGAUGCAGGAGGGAAAUGUUUUGCUUGC